ACGGUGUGGAUGACCACCUCCACCAGGGGCUCCUUGAUGGCCGUGUCUUUGAUGCGAGCAUGUGAAAGCCGUAUACGUCCUUCCACCGGUGGGUCUUGUAGUCUUUGUGCUGUCGAUCUUCGGUGGUCGUCACGUACAGUGUGGCUCGGUGCGGGAAGAUGAGAACAUCAGAUGCCAGCCACUUGUCCCUGUGCCCGAGCCCACGUCCAGCACCACCUCGUCCUUGAAGAGAUGUCGGUUGCGAAACAUGGAGUGUGGAGCCAGUUUUAUCCCCAAGAAGUGUCUCAAGGUCCCUGAUGGAGGUAUUUUGGAAUGGGGCACGGAAGGCCACAGAAAAGCGUUCUGGAACAAGGGGAACAAGGCAAUGGCCAUCACCAAAAUUGAGCAGCAGUGUUUUGGUAGGACAUGAAAUUAACACUGAUCCCCUACAUCUGCCAUGAGCUGGGUGAGAUUUGGGUAAGUCGCUAAGUUAUUGGCUUUGUCAGUUUCCUCUUACAGUUCCAGCCUUAGAAUGGGGCAUGGGGUGUGUUUUUUUGUUUUUGUUUUAAAGUUGAUUUAUUUAUUUUUGAGACAGCCAGAGAUGGUGCAAGUGGGG
rnacentral:lncRNA from 1 species